AAAUAUCUGUUUUUCUUCAUAGUUUAAUGCAUCAUAACUUAUCCUUAAUUUCUCUUGCACUUUCUCAUGCGGUACUUUCUGUAACUUCUUUAACGCAUCUUGCCAAAAUGCUUGGUCCCGUCCACACAGAAGUNNNNNNNNNNNNNNNNNNNNNNNNNNNNNNNNNNNNNNNNNNNNNNNNNNNNNNNNNNNNNNNNNNNNNNNNNNNNNNNNNNNNNNNNNNNNNNNNNNNNAUGAGAGAGAGAUUCAAAUUCACACGGAGGAGAGUCCCUCCUAAAGGCAUGUCUACUGAACAAUAUCAAGGACUCAUCCUUAGCAAUUUCUUUGAGUUCGUACUGGCAGUUCACCUCGGCAUCAUCAAGAACGGACCUUAUCCUUGUGGUGAUUAUUAUCCUACUCCCCAUCUCAAACCAGUCAUAUUUCCCAAUCAAAGCUCUGAUCUGUUUGAUAUCAUCCACAUCAUCUAGAAGAAUUAGGACUUUCUUACGUUUAAAUCUAGAUCCCAAGAGGCUGAUUCCUUCAUCCUUAUUAGACGCUUGGUCUUUCUCUUUCAGAUCACGUAUUAAUUGAUUCUGCAAAUAAAAAAUGCCAUUGCAUCGCGAGGAUUCUCGAAUAUCUGCAAUAAAACUACGAUGCUGAAAUUGGUCGGAGAGCUUAUUGUGGAUGACCUUGGCUAAAGUUGUCUUACCGAUGCCCCCCAUUCCAUAAAUACCGACAAUUUGGGUAGCACUAGAGUUAUCAUCCAGCAAUCUAAAAAUAUCCUCCACAGCAUUAUCGAUUCCAACAAGAUCUUCGGUCACAACUAGCCGAAAGGCCUUCUUUAACUCACUCAAAACUUUUCUGACAACCCUUUUCACCAGAUCUCCUUCGCGGCUGUUUACAAAGCAUUCGAGUCGAAAAGGAUUAGAAGAUCAUAUUCUAUUAUCUCAUUAUCACAACACUAUAGCAUAUAAAAGUGAAAGCAAGCAAGCACAAGUAGAGGAACACACGAAUGUAUAGGCUCCUCUUCAAGCAAGAUCCUGUUGCAAGAAAGUAAACAAAGAUUCAAUGGAAAAUGAAGUACCCGUCAGCAGUUUUCUCCGAUUCCCAUCCCUUUAGGGAAGCCACUUCUUGAAGUGCUACUUUCCAUUUCUCAACAUCUUCCGGGUACUUCCUACUUAAACGGGAGAAAGCCUCUCCAAAGCUCCCUGUUUGGUUUCGCACAUGGGUCGGUUCAACAUGGUAAAAUAUGGGCAAAACAACGUGCCCGCUUUUGAUGCACUCUGUCAUCUCAACGAGCUCUUGAAGGCACCAUUUGCUCGAAGCGUAGUUCUGAGAGAGAAUCGGGAUCGAGAUUUUGCUAUUUUUAAUGGCCUGGAGAAGGUUGGUGCUGAUCUUCUCACCUUCGCGAAGCUCAUUGUUGUCUCUGAACACGCGGAUGCUGGCAUCGAAGAGGCCGUUGUAGAGGUGAUCCGCAAAGGUUUUGCGAGUAUCCUGACCACUAAAGCUCAAGAACACAUCGUAGCUGUCACUGCCCGUCGAAGCGGCGAAGGAGCUAGACGCACUGGCAUCAUCAAAUUUUCGACGGGCGCUCUUCUCGUUGCUUUGGCCAGAAUUGUGUGCGGGCGCUCGAUCACGUUUCAUUUUUACUCCUCCGAUGUUUUUUGAACCGAUCUCUCUGGUAAUAUCAAAGAACGAAAUGCCUCUAUCGGGUUGCCCAAUAGGACGACCGUGCAGAGGGUUCUUUUGCUGGUGCUUUACACUACAAGAUGCACAUGGAUCGGGAGGGAACGAGCAGACGAUUAAUAGAGAAAGACUGGUUUUAGUCGUUGCGUGUGAAGUCCGCGUCUCGCGACACCCAUUUCUGGGAAAGUGGGAUUUAGUUGUCGUGGGGCCCACGAUUUGCAUCAACCGUUGCGUCUCCUUUGCAAAGUGCGUUCCAGCUGUUCUCGUUUUACAUGGCGGAGCUGACAUUUUUGAACUAGACGUUCAUGCCUCGAAUGAAUGAUCCGUGUUAAAGCGACAAUACUUGAUAUAGCGAUGGCAUAAAAUAUUGAGCUCGUAAUUAUGAGCAUUGAUAAAUGCAAAUGACAGAUUAUUGUUUGGGGGCGAGCCGCUCUGAUUGGCUCUUUGCAUUCGUAGGUCCCCAAAAAAUUAUCGGACACUGCUCUAGUCGACAAAUUUACACUUGUAGACAUCUCAAAAAUGACUAGUAUCUUGCUUUUUCUCCAAUGGAUGACUUUUAGAAUCGGCGCUACCGACGGAAACAUUUUUAAUUUUGUAUUUUAGGGCUAAAUCAGAAGACUAAGAUCAGCAGAGUAAGCAAUAUGGGUAGGCUCUUAUUUAGUGUUAUGGUAGAGAUAACAAGAUGACCUCUGUGGAAUAAGUACAAUUACUGGAGCACACAGGCUAGUACAAUUAUUGGAGCCGACAGAGGGUCCUUUCGACUGAUAACAGUCUUCACCGCUGUCCAUUCCAGAGUGUAAGGUAUCUUUGGACUAGCGCGUCUCCUUUGCAAAGCGCGUUCCAGCCGUCGCUGUUCCGAAUGCUUCCAGUCUCGGCCAGAGAAAAUGUGAGGUAGCUUCGAAUUGUCACGUCAUCGUGGUCUCUCCCCAUUCGAAUUGUGACACUUAGAACGAAAAAGCCCCAAAAAAAAAAAAUUUGAAAAGAAAGUCGCGAUUAAAAUUGUGUGCCUUGCUGCUGUCGUUACUCUCUCCUCUCACUUUCAUCUUCCUUCCUCUUCGCCGUUAAGCUCACGGUCACGGAGAAGGGGUUCGACCCGGACGAAAAUGUACGCCCCAUGGUGCAGAGUAAAUAAGCUAUCGACUGCCUUUAGAGUUCACCUGUAUUUUAAGCAAACGCAACGGACAUUCUUUCUCAAAUUAACUUUUAAACGAUUUCGAUCCGCACGAACCUCAAUUUCAUGGCAGAGUCAGCAACUUUAUGGUGCCGCUAGGCUAACAGUCAAUAACAGUGAACUUUCCCAACCGUGUAUCCCAAAUUCAGCAAGAGAGGCGACCGAAAGGUCAAGUUCGGUCUUUUCGUCUUAUUUUAGCCGAUUUUUUUCUUCUGCUUAAAAGUUUAGUUUGGGUUAUGUGCAAUAAUUUUGCAGCGAUCACUUUAAACCAAAAAAUAGAAAACUCAAACACACUUUUGAUAUGUCAAAACAGGUUGUAAACUCAUUUCUUGAGUAAUAUAUGUGGGGUUGUGUUAUAAAUGAGUUGUUGGAUAUUCGAAGGAUCGUGGGAAAAUAAGUUUAACAUAUUAAAAUCCAACCAGAGUGGGUCAUGGACUGGGCCAUCUCUCACUCCUCUCAGUCUCGGUCCCGUGCAUGACAUGUCGGAGGGUGUGAAACUAGGGGUGAGCAGCGGUCUAGGGUCGACCCUGGACCAACCCUGGACCGGCCCAACCCUGCCGGUCCUGGUCCGGUUCCCAAGGGGACUGGGUCGGUCAUUGGUCCUGGAAUUCCAGGACCAACACUGUGCGGGUUGGUCCUCGGUCCUAAGAGUUUUGGGUCGGUCAAACCCUGGACCAACCCUGUAUAUUAUAUUAUAUUAUAUUAUAUUAUUUAUAAUUCUCUUAUAUAUUCAAACCUAAGUAAAAUGUAUGUUAUAUUAUAUUAUAUUGAAAUGUUCUAUCAAUAGUACUAAUAGUAAUUUCAAUUUAAAACUUUUGUUGGGUAUUAAUUAAGUGUCGUUUGUUUUAUUUUCAGGUGUUUAGAAGUUCAAGUGAAUUAACAAGAUGUGAAGUUAUAUAUUCAUGGUUUAUAUUAAGUAUUUUGAACUUUUUAUGGUUUAAUUGUAUUUUACUAAUGAAUUUCAGCUGCACUUUGCUUUUCAAUUUGUGUCAAAUGGUAGAAGUUUUUGAAGAGUGGAGUAGUACUGCAGUUGCUACGGUGAUUUGCUAGUCAAGUGGUGUGAAGCUCAUUUUUUGGUUGAGUGGACUUUACAUAAUCAAAUGCAGGAAAACGCUUUUGCAUAUGAUGUUAUGAAUAUUAAAGAUAGAUGAUUACAAGAACUUUCCAUCUUGUCUCAUAUCUCGAUGAGCGGUUAGCAGGUACGAAAUUUCUAUUAUUGUGUCAUUUUAAAUUUGCUAAAUAUGUAUUGGUAUUUAUAGUUUAGUUGCACAAUGUCGCAUUAUUGAUGGAUGUGUAAUUUGAAUUUGUAAGUUUACUUUUUUAGGGAGUAUAAAAAAUAAGACGAAAAAAAUUAUCUAUCAGUCCCGGGUUAACCCUGGAACCGGACCGAACCCAUUGGGUCGGUCCGGUCCUUGGUCCCAGGCUCAAUAGGGUCGGUCCUCGGUCCUAAAAAUUGAGGACCAAUAUUGUACGGGUUGGUCCUAGGGUUAGGGGGUGGCCCGGACCAACCCGGACCAUGCUCACCCCUAUGUGAAACGGCUGCCGCGUUCCGUGGAAGAUGGAAAUAGUUCUGAAAACUGUGGACCCCACAGUAAAAUAUCUUCGAGAAGCACUUAUAAAGUCGCAUAUUCACGGCUCUUACCUUCGCUUUCACAUUUUAAUUUUCUGCUAAAAUAGAAAUAUCAUUUAAUAUAAAAAAAUUGCGAAAAUAAACUUUCGAGUAACUGUUUUUUUAACAAAAAAAUGUCCUCAAGGGUUUUUUUUUUCUCAAAUAUGUUCUUUCCGGCGAGUUCAAGCUACCUUACGACAUCUAAAAACUCCUCAACUUCCACUAAAGGCAUAAGGGAAUCAAGGGUCGGCCACAUUUCAAUAAUAAAAAUUCAAAAAAACACAACGAAAGUUGAGCUUGAUAGAUAUAAUCCACAACUGUGCAAUUCGUACCAAACACUUCUCAAUUAAAUCUUCACUUCCGGUAUCUCAAAUUGAGUAGGCAAAAGAUCUUUAAUGCUUGAUUGUCGUGUUACUUUAUAUAUUUGGACAAGAUUAAGCUUCACAAGCAUCUACAAAAUAAAAACCAUACAUUAGUGAUAAGAUGCACAUUUCUCAAAUAAACUAUUGAGAUAAAUAUCUCGAAUUUGAAUAUGAUUUAUCAAGACCAAACUCAAAGUCGAAACUCAAUUCGUAAUUUACUUCUAUAUUUAACCCAAAACCAAAGCCCAAAUCUGUUUUAAGAUAAAGCUUGAUUGAUAAUUCAAAAAAUAUCUUAGAGUAUCAUACAUUUUAUAUGUCCUUAUUGGGAGUAUAUAGAUACCUCAAAUUUUAGCAACUACUUUAAGCAAAUACACCCAAUAACUCAUAAGCUAAUUGUAGCUGGACAUUUUAACUCUCUCUCUCUCUCUUAAAAUAAAGAAAGAUAAUGAAGAAGCUUUCCCAUCGCCUGAGGAGAAAAAAUAAGCAAAUUGAAUUAGACUUACUAUAGUGUAGCUUUUUGAAUGAGUUUGAACGCAUGUGAACAUAUGGAUGACUUGCUAUAGCAUGUAAUGAGAACACACGAUUGAACGAGACUUAUCGGCUAAAAGUUGCAUAGCUUUCUAAAUGAGUUUGUGCGCAUUUAAAAAAGUUAAGCAAAGUUGAACUAGACUUUCCAUUAAAAAGAAAAUAGUAAAGCAACCUUGUUCAUUUUUUUGGGGGCUAGUGAAUGCACUAAGGGCCUGUUUGGCAACUUGUCCAACAGUGCCAGAUUCUGAUUUUUUGUUCCCAGAAUCAGUUUGGGACGAGAAUCGCGUUUGGUAAAUUUUUUGUUCCCGGGAACAAAUUUGUCCCGGGAACAAUUUUGGACAAGAUUUGAGAAUCUAAAAAAAAUUGAUUCUACGUCCGAGAAUCAGAAAAAGAAUCAACACGGUAAAACCUUGUUCUUCUCUUUCAACAUCUUGGUUGCCAUUCGCCAUCGCCCGCCGCCGCCCGCCGCGGCCGCCGGUCCGCCGCCGGUCGCCGGUCCGGCGAGGUCGCCGGAGGCUCGCCAGGCCAGGGCGAGGUCCGGCGAGCUCGCCGGAGGCAAGCCUAGCCACCGGCGAGGCCCAGCCUCGCCGGUGGCCAGGCGAGCCUCGCCUAGCUGCCGGCGAGGCUCGGCCGACGAAGGCCGACCUCGCUGAGGGCCGGCAGCGCUCCGGUGAGCGUCGCCGACCCUCAUCUGGCCGGUCGCCGGGCGACCGGCCAAAUGAAGAAGAAGAAGAAGAAUAGGAAAAAAGGGGAAAAAAAGAAAAAAGAAAAAGUAAAAAAGUAAAGAAAUUAUUUAAAAUUUAUUUAAAAAUCAAAAUAAAUUAUUUAAAAUUUAUUUAAAAAUCAAAAGAAAUUAAUUUGGAACAUAAUCAAUUAAUACGGUACCAAACGCAAUUCUAUUCCAGAAUCAAAAAUUUUGAACAGUUACCAAACGCGCUUUUUUACCAAUCAGUUCCCGGGAACAGAAUAAAAAAGAAUCAGUUCUGAUCAGAAUCAGCUUCCGGGAACAGAAUCGUUACCAAACGCGCCCUAAUUGACUCUUUGCACUUGUAGGCUCCAAAGAAUAACUGACAUCUUGCUUUUUCCUCAAUGAAGGACUUUUUGGAAUUAGUGCUACAAAUGCAAGAGUUUUUUAAUUUUAUAUUUUUGAGUAAUCAGAAGAUUAAGAUUAGCACCGCAAUCACUAGCAUUGUAAGUGAGGGGUCAUGGUGGUGGAGUCAUGUGCUAGCCUUCUCCGAGAUAUUGACAUCUAACCUAAGGUGCCGUUCGGGCAGUGUACAGGCCAUGGGACCCCAACUAGCGUAAGCGAAAGGAGCGCCGGCAGAUCCUUGAUUACCAAAAGAAAAAAAAAAAAAAAAAAGAUCAGCAGAGUAACCAAUGCGGCAGGCUCAGCAACUUAACAAUGCUGGCAUCAUCAGCUAUACGACGUGCGCUCUUCUCGUUGCUUCGGCCAGAAUUGUGUGCGGGCGCUCGAUCACGUUUCAUUUUUACUCCUCCGAUGAUUCUUGAACCGAUCUCUCUGUUAAUAUCAAAGAACGAAAUGCCUCUAAUCGGGUUGCCCAACAAGACGACCGUGCAGAGGGUUCUUUUUCUGGUGCUUUACACUACAAGAUGACGAUGCACAUGGAUCGGGAGGGAACGAGUAGACAGAUCAAUAGAGAAAGACUGGAUUUAGUCGUUGCGUGUGAUGUGGGCGUCCUCGCGAACCACCCGUGCCCUUUCUUCUGGGAAAGUGGGAUUUAGUUGUCGGUGGGGCCCACCGAUUUGCAUCGACUGUUGCGGCUCCUUUGCAAAGUGCGUUCCAGCUGUUCUUGUUAUACACGGCGGAGCUUACAUUUUUGAACUAGACGUUCAUGCCUUGAAUGAAUGAUCUGUGUUAAAGCGACGAUGCUUUGACAUAGCGAUGGCAUAAAAUAUUGAGCUCGUAAUCAUUGAUAAAUGCAAAUGAUAGAUUAUUGUUUGGGGGCGAGCCGCUCUAAUUGGCUCCUUGCACUCGUAGGUCCCCAAAAAAUUACCGGACGCUGCUCUAGUUGAUAAAUUUGCACUUGUAGGCAUCCCAAAAAUGACUGGCAUCUUGCCUUUUUCUCCAAUGGAUAGCUUUUAGAAUCGGCGCUAUAGACGCAAACAUUUUUAAUUUUGUAUUUUGGGGCUAAAUCAGAAGAGUAAGAUCAGCAGAGUAAGCAAUAUGGGUAGGCUCUUAUUUAGUGUUAUGGUAGAGAUAACAAGCAUUGAUCUUUUUGUUUCUAUGGAAUGAGAGGUCUUUAAGCAAAUCGGCACUUGCAGAGUUUAUUAAGUUGCUGAUUCUGCACGAAUCCAAGGAAGCUCAGUGAAUGGACUGAGACGAAAAUUACCUCCGUAAAUUACAGUCCUUUUUGGCCCCGACGUUAAUAUUUGCAUCUAAUAAAAAAGAAAAAUAAAUAAAUAAAUUUAAUAGAUGAUAUUAUACUAGCCUAUAGACCCAUGCUAAAAGAACUCAAGAAAUAGAUUAAGGUAAACGAUUAUUCUAGAAGUGUACUUAAAGUCAUAUGAAAAGUGAUUAUACGCCCCUUGGACCAAAAGGAAAAAAAUUAAAUUGGAUGAAAGUGAACUUAAUCAUCACGACGUAUGCUCUUGUUGUUGCCCUUGACAAAAUUGCGUGUGCGCACAGAGAGAAGAAUCGACCCAACCAACACUGCAAAAGAGCGCCCAGGCACUAUGUCACGUUUCAUUUUUUCUCCUUCAAUGACUCGCCGACCGAGUCACUCUAUCAAUAUGCCAAGCGCAGAAAGCCUCUCUUUACUCGGGUUGCCCGGCAAAACGACCCACGGGACAAAUUAUCAGAGCACGAUAAGCUGAGCUCUAUGCAAAAGAGUACAAUUAUUGGAGCGGACGUAUCAGUACAAGUAUUGAAGCAGACAGAGGCUCUUUUAGCUGAGGGACUCUCUUGACCGCUGUCAGUUUCAGACCGUAAAAUAUCUUUCUGACUAGCGCGUCUGCUUUGCAAAGGGAGUUCCAGCUGCUUUUGUCCGAUUCUUCCAGGCCCGGCCGGAGCAAUUACGAGGUAGUCCCGAGUUAUCAAUGUCAACGCGGUCCGCGCUAUACCGUUUCUUCUCUCUCUGCUGUCGUUACUCUCUCUUUCCUCUCACUUUCGUUCUGCGCUUUUGGUCAUGGGGUAGGGGCUCAACCUGGACGAAACGUACAUUCCACGGCACGAGACUGAAAAAAUCACCGGUCGCCUUCCAAAUUCACCCAUAUUUUGAGCAAAUGCAACAAACAUCCUUUCCCAAAUUGACGUUUGAACGAUUUUGAUCCGCACCUAUAAGACUCAGAACCUCAAUUUCAUGCCAAAGCCAGCAACUUCGGGGUGCUGCUAGGCUAACAGUCGGUAACAGCAAAUUUUUCCAGCCAUGUAUCCCAAAUUUAGCAUGAGGAGCGACCGAAAGGUCAAGUUUGGUCUUGGGUCUUAUUUUAGCCCUUUUUUUUCUGCUUAAAAAUUUAAUUUAGGUUGCGUGCAAUCGUUUUUGCAACACUCACGUUAGAAAGAAGAAAAAAAAAAACUCAGACGCACUUCGGAAGUGUCAAAAUAAGACACAGACCCAAUUUUUUUACUUGUACGUCUGGGGCUAGGCUUUUAAUGACUUGUUAGACAUUUUAACGGUUUGGUGAAAAUAGAUUUAAAAUAUUUAAAUCUAGCUGCGUGCAUGACACGCCAGAGGGUGUGAAACGGUUGUCACGGUUGUCAAAACGGUGGACCCCACAAGAAUAUAUCUCCGGAAGGCCCUCUCAUAAAGUCGUAUACUUGCGGCCCUUAUCUUCACUUUCACUUUUAAAUUUUCUGCUAAAAUAGAAAUAUCAUUAAAUAUAAAAAAAAAAUUGCGAAAGUAAACUUCCGGGUGACUUUAGAAUCGACUACAUAUGUCCUCAAGUUUUUUUUUUUCUUUUUUUCAAAUAAAAUGUCCUUAAGGUUUUCACAUUUCAAUUUAUAAAACUUCUAAAAAAACACAACAAAAGUUGAGCUUGAUAGAUAUAAUUUACAGCUUUGUAAUUCGUACCAAACACUCCUUAAUUAAAUUUCACCUCUAUCGAGCAUAUCAAUUUGAGUAGCUAAAAGAUGUUUAAUGCUUAAUUGUCAUGUAUCCAGAUAUAUUUGGACAAGAUUAAGCUUUGCAAGCAUCUACGAAAUAAAAACCAUACUUUAGUGGCGAGAUAUACAUUUCUCAAACAAACUAGUGAGAUUAAUGUCUCAAAUUGAAAUACGAUUUAUCAAGACCAAUCUCAAAGUCGAAACUUUUAAUAAUUUAUGGAUGGCCUACAACACUUUUAUAUUUAACCCAAAACCAAAGCCGAAUUUGUUUAAAGAUAGAGCUUGAUUGAUAAUUCAAAAAAUCUAUUAGAGUACCAUACAUUUCAUAUGUCCAUAUGGGAAUAUAGAGAUACCGUAAAUUUUAGGCAACUACUUUAGGCAAAUAUACUCGGUAGCGAUUCUAACUUAGAAGAUGAUGAUAGUUGGACAUUUUAACUCUAGUUGAACUAGACUUACCAUAGCGUAGCUCUCUGAAUGAGUUUGAAUGCAUGUGAACAUGUUAAUAACUUGCUAUAGCAUACAAUUUGAACACACAAUUGAACUAGACUUCCUGGGCAAAAAUUGCAUAACUUUUUGAAUGAGUUUAAGCACAUUUGAAAAAGUUAAGCAAAGUUGAACUAGGCUUUCCGUCAAAAAGGAAAAUUACAGUCACCUUGCUUAUUUUUUUGGGGCCAGCAAAUGCAAAAGAGUCAAUUAGAGUGGGCUGCUCUGAUUGACUCUUUGCACUUGUAGGCCCCGAAGAAUGACUGGCAUCUUGCUUUUUCCCCAAUGGAGACUUUUAGAAUUAGUGCUCCAAACGCAAUUUUAUUUUAUUUUAUUUAUAUGUUUGGGCUAAAUCAAAAGACUAAGAUUGGCCGAAUUAAGCAAUGCGGCAGGCUCUUAUUGGGUGUUUGGUAGAGAUAUCAAGCAUUGAUCAUUUUGUUCAUGUGGAAUGAAAAGCUUAUUCAACAAACUGGCACUUGCAGUGUUUGUUCUUGGAAUGAGGUACGUUGCUGAGCCUACGCAAAUUGAAGGAAUCUUCAAGUGGACCGAGAUGGAGGUCUUCCGUUGCGUAAAGAAUGGGUCUGUCGGGCUAGUAUAAUGCGAUCUAUCACGCUUUACUCUUUCUUUCUUUCUCCUUGGUUUUAUAAGUCUAUUCUCGUGCAUAGUACGAUAAUAAUUUUGUUUUUUUUUUUUUCAGAAACAAAAAGCAAAGGAAAGAGAGUUUCCUCAUGCAACGGAGGAUCUACAUCUUGGUCCACUCUAAGAUCACUCUAAGAUCUUCCUUGGAUCCGCGCAGGCUCAACAACUUAACAAUGUACCCCAUUCUAGGAACAAAACAUUGCAAGCAAAAAGAUCGAUGCUUGGUAUCUCUACCUAACACCCAAUAAAAACUUGGCCGCAUUGCUUACGCUAUGGAAAGAUGCUAGUCAUUCUUUGGGGGCCUACAAGUGUAAAGGGUCAAUUAGAGCGGCCAACUCUAAUUGACUCUGUGCGCUUGCUGGCCCCAAAACAUGAGUAGGGCCACUUUAAAAUUUCCUUUUUAAUGGAAAGUAUAGUUCAAAUUGCUCAAUUUUUUUUCAAAUGGGCCUAAAGUCAUUUAGAAAGCUGUGCAAUUUGGCCUGUAAGUCUAGUUCAAUAAUAUGUUCACUUUAGAUGCUAUAGCAAGUUAUCAACAUGUUCACAUGUGUUCAAACUCAUUCAGAUAGCUACACUAUAGUAUAUCUAGUUCAAUUUGCUUUCUUUUUCUUCUUGAGCAACGGGAAGGCUUCUUCAUGUUAUUUCUUUAUUAGAGAGAGAGAGGGAGGGAGGGAGGGAGGGAGGGAGGAAUUCUCCAACUACCAAUAACUUUCGAGUUAUAAUGUAGAAGUAGAACUAUCUAAUUGUAUUGCCUGAAAUUUGAAGGUCUCUAGAGUUCUAAUAUGGACGAUUGAAAAUGUAUGAUAAUUUGAGAACUUUUUUGACUUAUCAAUCAAGCAAGCUAAUUAUUAUGAACACGGAAAAAAUAAUUCGGACUUUCCUUCACUACAACGUUAAUAAUCCAACUGAAAUUUCCACUUAUGAUAUUUAUUGUCUUCAAAUUCCUACAUAUUAUUAAUUGACAUUGGAACUUUCAGAUGUGGCAUGUGCACAGUACAUGUUAAGGAAAAAGGUUAUUGGGGUUAACUAGUGUAUAAUUAUACGAGUUCAAGUUUAGGGGAGGGGGAAUGCAAAUUAAUGAAGAACUUCAAAGUUAUGAGGGUAAAAUAACAUUUUCCCUAAAUGUAAGAAUGAGGUUUCACGUUCAUGGAACCUUAAGAGUGUCAUGAUAAUUUAUCUAAUUUGAAGUGAUUUUCCUCAUUAUUUAACGAUGUAGUUGCAUUUAAUCAUGGUUAAUAUUUUCUUCCGUACUUGGUUAGGAAAAUUUCCUCCAAUCAUAUCUUUGAUUGGUGUCUAAAUUAUGAACUGUAAACUUAAUUAAAUUUAAAUGUGAGUGGUCUUCAUAUUUGUAACCCACCAAUUAGAGGCAUAGCAUGUGAUAAGGAAAAUAUGGCCCAUUAGAUAGUAAUCUAUGAUGUAAGUAUCAUGGUGCAUGGAGAGAGAACCUCUAAAGAGUUUGUGACAAAUUUUUAGGAUUUCCAGUACACUUGUCAUAUUAUUUCAUUAAAGUUCAUAAGUUAAAAAAAAAAAAUCAAAUUGUUGAUGUUCUAGUGCAAGAAAAGAAAGUAAUAUUUUUUGGAGUUUAGAAUUAAGCUCAUAAAAAUCUAUUAUGUCCGUUGUAUAGAUCUAAAAUAGAUAUAGUGAAUCUAAUUUGUUAGAUAAAUGUAAAGUAAUGCUCCAAAAUCUAAUUUGUUAGAUAAAUUUAAAGUAAUGCUCCAAAGCACUUUCAUUGAGUGGCCACUAUUUUAGAUUCACCGCAUCUAUUUUAGAUCAUACAUUAGACACUAUUUAUUUUAUAAGCUUUAUUCUAAGCUCUAAAAAAUAAUGGUUUCUUUUUGUGCGGGAGGACAUCCGCGAUUUGCUUUUCAUUAACUUAUUAAUUUUAAGAAAAAAUAAUAAAUUUAGGACGCCAAAAGUAAUAAAUUUGAUUAUCGAACACCGAUGUUCUUACUUCUUCUUUUUUUCAACUUUUGGCCCAAAUGUUAUCAAUACUAUUGGCUUUGCAGUUUUUUUUUUUUUUUAAUAUUAGACAACUUAUUAUAAUGAUAAAUAGUUUAAUUAUGGGAUCUCUUGUUAUGCUUGUCUUUAAUUUUUCUUGAGGCUAUCUGCAAUUUUUAAAAGGAAGCUAGCAACACAAAAUAUGACAGUUGAGAAAUUAAGAAAAAAGGAGGAAAAAAAAGAAAAGCAAAGUGAGUUAGGUGUCGAUAAAGGCACAUCAACUCCUCAGAGGCUCCCUCUCCAAGCACCAAAAUACUUACAUUACAAAAUAUUGUCUAAUAGGCCAUGUUUUCCUUAUUCCACGUCAUACUUCUGAUUGAUGGGUUACAAGUUUGCAAAAUAUUCAUAUUUAAUUUUACUUAAAUUUACUGUCAUAACUUGGACACCUAUCAAAGGUAUGGUUAAGAAUCAUAAAUGAAGAACUAGAGAUUUGUUAAAGUGACCAUUAAAAGCAAAUAGCUGUGUAAAAUUUCUAUGUGAAUGUGCUAUGUGACUCAACCUCAUGUGAGGUUUACCCACUUUAUAUGAUUGUGCGCUUGCGCUUUGAUGGCAUCAACGAGUACUUUAGGCAAUUACAAAGUUUUCUAGCCACAAAUGCAGGCUUCUAUAGCCUCGCAUAGCUCCAACACAUGAGACUUAGCUGGAGUUAUUUUCAGGUAAUGCAUUUUGCACAUUUAGUCUGUCAGGUGAGAUCAAUAGGAAAUAAUGAGAUAUUAAUCCAUUUCAGGAAGCAUGAGUAAUUUGAGCUCUAGGGUGAUUUUCGCACAACCUGUAGAUGUGUGUGUGUGUGAUUUUCGCACAACCUGUAGAUGUGUGUGUGUGUGUGUGUGUGUGUAUUUGCUAAUAAUAUUUUCUUAUAUGAUUCUAGAUGUAUUUGAUAUUACAUAUUUAUAUAUUUAUUGACUUACAUACUGGAGAAGGAAGAAAAGCAAAUAAGAAGAAGGGGCUGGUGCCAUGAGACAAAUUUGACCAGCUUUGAGCAAAUUAAACGAUCCUCUGUUGGAACGGUGGAGUUUGAACAGGUAAUGCCGUGUCUCCGUCCAAUUCUUCUAUAAUUUCCUGUUUCAAUUUUGUUCAACUUGAAUUUGUGACCUUUAUUCCACGGCAAGUUGAACAUGGUUAUUGUCUCAGAUGGAUUACGUCUUCCCGAAGGCACAAGUUCAAGACGUGGAAAAGCUCGAGUCAAUGCUUUCAACCACAGGAGAUGGAGCACGAAGAUGUGCUGCCAAUUGAUUGUUGCACAGUUUGGCUAUGCUCUAAGAACUACAUGUACGAGAUGAAUCUUCCAAUAGGGAACUCAUCGAGGUCCAAAGAAGUGAAUGGAAAAUGACCGAAACAGCCUAUUCAUGAUCCACGACGCAAUGGACAACCAACAUCCUCACAUGAAUCAACGGCUAAUGAUGUUUGGAAAGGCGUCCGAUAGAGGCACGUAAAUGAGAACACUAGUAACAUCUUUAUUGGUUAACAAGUACCUCGAUUAUAAAAUGAUCAUUCUAUGCCUAUCACCGAUGAAGUCAACGAAUUGAGAGAUAUUGUAACUGCGUAUGCAGAUGUGGAUGAAUCAAUCUCCAAGACCUUUCUCGUUUCUAUUAUUGUUGGUAAACUUCCAUCUCCAUGGAAAGACUGCCAAAAGCUUUUAAGCAUUAGAAAGAGUCUUUUGAGUUUGGAUCGAUCGCUUCAAUGCAUUUAAGUUGAAAGUUAGGCCAGAAAUCAUGAUGUAUUUGAAAACCAAGCAAAAAGUGAACAACGUUCAUGGUGUUGAGGAACCCGCAUCUAGUAAUUUUAGUGAAUUUUUGAACGAGACUUGCUUUCGGAGUGGCAAAAUGGAUCAUGGGGCUCCCUUUUGCUAUGACGAAAGAAGAAUGAAGCCAAUUUGGCGGAGGACAAUGACGUGGUUGCGAUGAUCAUGGGGGUUCUCAUGGCGAACGAUGAUGAAGGUUGGUGGAUUGACUCCAGCGAAACUUGCAAUGUUAUUCCCCACAAGAUGAAAAAUAUUUACGCUCUCUCGGACAACCCUGUCAAUGAGUCGCCUGAUCUGUCAAUAUUAGGUUACCAAAAGUUAAGUUUCGUGCGAGUAUUCUAUCCCAAAGACAAUGAAGGAAUUCAAGAAGUUUGAUACAAGAUUACGUGUGCGUGUAUGCCCUGUGAAGAGAUGACAUGUUUCCAGGAGCACAUAAUAGCACGAGGCAACAACUCCAUCAAUGAUUUAGUGCAUGGUACCGACUUAAAUUGAUAUCUAUUUGUAAGAUUUAAGAGGAUUUCACUUCUUGCAAAUUGAGCUAUUUGGUACUGGCAAAGUGAAAGAUAGAAAAAAGAAAAAGAAAAAAAAAAAGACAGUUCUAUGAUUUUCUUUGAUACUUAACUUAAUUUGAUAAAUUAGUAAAUGUAGAUUUUUGACAUCCCAACAUGUCGUUUAUUCUGAUUUCGCUCAACAUAACAUCGCCAAAUUAAUAGGUAUAAAUUCCCUCUUGAAUGUGAAGAAGAACUCAUCCAUUUCCGAUGGAAUCAAGUGAGAGAAGGGAGAAUUAAACUUAAUUGAUUUGGUAUGAUAUUAAGGAAUGAAAAGUCGAAUUCAUGAUAAUUGAAGGUACUUUAUUAGAGGAGAAAAUAGUAAUUCCAUCAAAAGAAUAAUUUCAUGAUUACAAAAUAUUUCCUACAACCCAGUUAGACAAAAUUCCUUUCCACUUAUACUGUUGAUUGGUGGGUUACAAGCACAGAUCUCAAAAUUCAAUUUUGAUUAAAUUUAUAUGCAGCUCACGUCCAUAAUUUAUAACCCACCAAUAAGAGGUAUGGUUGAAGAAAAUUCUGCCUUUAUAAAAUUGGCUCGUUUUGUGUAUCAAAUGUUGCAUUGGUCUUUGAUGGGUGGGCUUAAACGACCAACAAAAAUUUGAUAAAUGCAAACUUUGCAAAUCAAUUUUGCUGACUACCCUUUGAGAUCAAUAAUCGUAACAUCAUCUCUUUGACGUAGACGAACUUAGAAACGACGGCAUGGCAAAAAAGCUGCUGCAAUAUAGGGAUGCUGUACAAUAUUGUGUAGACCGAAAGAGAACUUCCCACGCAGGAACCUUGUAAGCAGCCGUUGCUGCUGCUAUCCAUUAUGUUGAGUACGGUCGACUGAUUCGGUUUUGGAGUUUGUGGUGGUGCUGUUGCAACCUGAUGACAGUGGCCGUGGAGGAGCAGAGCAAAGUCAGCUGCUAUGGAGUGCGGAAGAAGAAGAAAGACCAAAGCGCAAAAAGAACAAAUAUGUGACAGGCUGAGUUUAAAAAGAACGUGCGACAUUUUCACCUAGUUAGACUUGUAAUGCAUUGCUAAUAAUUUUGUGACAUGGUGCAGAAAUCUCUCAUAGAGCGAAAUUUAAUAUGUUGAGACUUAUAGGUAAAGAUAAGUUUAGGUAUCUAAUGAAUAAAAGUCCAAGCAUUUGCAACAUCGUUAUCUGAAAAAUGACAGCAAGCGUACAUGUUGUCCAUCAUAAACGAAAUCAAGCUCACGAAGUUACCUUUUCUAUUUCUUACAUAUGAAAAAUCAAGCUCACCAAAUUUUUCAAUGAAUGGAUCAUAAGAAAGUUUUUUUAUUGGUCGGGUCAUUAACAUAUAAAUCAGUAAUAGCAAAUAUGUCCAGAAGGGUGAUGGAUAGAGGUCCCCAGGGUGGGUUUUUUUUUCUGGGGGGUGGAGAAAAACGCAGUUAGCCGAGGAAGACCAGAAGGUAAAAGGAAAACCUAACAAGCCAGGUUCUAAGAGUAAGUCGGAGCAAGAAAAUUUCGAAAGCUAAGUUAAUUCGGGCUUGUUCCAAGAGAUGUACCAAGUGAUGUUUUAGCCUCAGGUACCACUGAUAUAAUUUAGUAUCCAAAACUGGAAAAAGUCCUAAAUCUACGGCUUCUCUUCGACCAAACGUAUACUAGAAUGAAAUCCUGGUGAAUGAGAAGGAUCUCUUGAGAAGACUGGGAAAGCACUGAUCAUAAGAUGAGGAACAUGAAGAGAUUUCAAGUAAGGAAGAAGAAUAACCCUAUCAGAGCCAUCCUCGGGGUUGUCCAAAAAUUGAAGAGAGAGCUUGCCUUGCUCUUCCAACUCCUGAAGACCAUCGAAGCCAACAAUGUACGGCACUGGACGAGAGUUGAAGAAACUGAGAGCUUUGACAGUAGGUACUGUUGGAGUUGGAGGAAAAGAGAGAGCUAUGGCUGAAAUCUGGAAUUUGAAACGAGAAAAAUUUGGGAGAAGAGGUUGAAGACGAUGGAGUAUGCAAAAGACGAAGAUGGAAAGGUGAAAUCUAUGCUCUGAUGUCGAGGAUGCGAUCAACGUCCUCUUCUUUGUCAUGGAAGCUGCUUUGCUUGCCGAAAUAUAUUACCUAGCAUCCCUUCACUCAUUUCAUGAUCACCCCUUUCUUCUUUAAUUCUUUUUUUUCUUCCUGCUGUUUGUCUUUGUCUGUUCUUGUUCCGUUGCAACAAAUGGGAAAAAGAAAAGAGAAUACUGUAAAGCGCCCCUGUUUUCCUUUCCUGCAGAAUUGGAAGAGUAAUGGACACUGACUAUGGAAUUCCAUUAUAAUUCCAUAAACAAGAACCUAUAUUGGCCAUGGACGUCAAAAUUCAAGACCCGUGUACAAGUUUAGAAUGCCAAAUAAUGUGAAUUAAACAAACUACGCUGUACUUCGGUACUUAAUUAACUAAUGCUAACAAUCUCAUGAUGUGGACAAACGAAUUUGAUUUUACUAUAAGGGCGUCCAGAAAAGACAUUUGAAUCGUCGACAAACAGCUUUUUGACAUCUAGUCAGCAACUGUUCUAGCUUCCAAAUACGUUCUCUCUUGAACAAAAUAAUUUCGAAUGGAAAUCGUUGAAUAUUGACUUAGUUCAUGCCCAGCCUUGAUACUCCGCAUGUACGCCCUCGGUUUCUAAUGUUAAGAUGUUCAUAAGGAACUCGCUGUCAAGUGUCAAUCUUACAAAUCAGGAGUUGGAUAUAUUAUUCCAUAAUCUCAUGCUUUUUGAAUUGUCAAGAACAAUUUUAACAAGUUGCCACCUUUAUAAAUUGCAUCCAUUCAACAAGCUGCUUCAGAAACUGAAAAAACUAUCACUAUAAACGCACAUCUCGUGUCAAUCAUCGCUAAUAUUUUUGUCACAUGGUGCAUAAGUCUCUCAAUGAGCAAAAUUUAGAACGUUGAGAUACUUGUUAGGCAAAGAUAAGUUUAGGUGUCAUGAUGAAUAAAAGUUCAAGCAAUUGCAAUGUCAUUAUCUAAAAAAUGAUGGGCAAGUGAAUACGUUAUCCAUUAUGAACGAUAUCAAGCUCACAAGAUUACCUUUUCUAUUUCCUACAUAUGAAAAUCAAGAGCACGAAAUUUUUCGAUUAAUGGAUCAUGAGACCUCUAUCUCAUGAGCCUUCGCACGCUAAGGAGAGAAACCAGUAGUGGCAAAUAUGUCGAGGAGGGUGAUCCAUAGAGGCCCAAUUAGCAGAGGAAGACCAGAAGGUAAAAGGAAAACCUAACGAGCCAGGUUCCAGGAUUAAGUUCGAAGCAAGAAAAUUCCAAAGCUAGGUCGAUUCGGGCUCCUUCCCGGAGAUGUAUCAUGUGAGGUUUUAGCCUCAGGUACCACUGACAGAAUUUAGAGUCCAGAACUGGAACAAGACCUAAAUCUACAACUUUUCUUCGACCAAAUAUUUGCUAGAAUGGAAUCCUGGUGAAUGGAAAGGAUCUCUUGAGACUGACUGGGAAAGCACUGAUCAUAAGAUGAGGAACAUGAAGAGAUUUGAAGUAAGGAAGAAGAAUAACCUGAUCAGAGCCAUCCUCGGGGUCGUCCCAAAAUUGAAGAGAGAGAUUGCCUUUCUCUUCCAACUCCUGAAGACCAUCGAAGCCAACAAUGUACGUCUCGGGACAAUAGUUGAAUAAACUGGGAGCGUUGACAGUUGGGGCCGUUGGAGUUGGAGGAGAGAGAGAACUAUGGUUGAAAUCUGGAAUUUGAAAUGAGAAAAGUUUUCCAGCAUAGGUUGAAGAAGAUGGAUUAUGCAAAAGGUGAAUAUACGAAGUCGAGGAUGCCAUGGACGUCCUCUCUCUUGUCAUGGAAGCAGCUUUGCUUGCCAAACGAUACCUCCACGGGCCUGAAUCUCUGUCCACGUUCAAUGAUUAUAUUACCUCCAUAUCUUCACUCACUUCAUGACCACCCCUUUCUUCUUUGAUUAUUUUUUUUAAUCUUUUGGUGGGUUAGUUUAGUGUUAAGUAAAUUUUCUCAGCCGUCGAGGGGGAUUCUUGUUCGUGAUUCUGUUCAAAUAGUACGAGUGUAAAAGGGAAGUUUCAGUAGAAGUUCUCGAGAAGCUAGAGCUGAAGAAGCACCCUUAAUUGGCUAGUCGUAUAAAUUUAGGCGUAUACUUUUAUGUGAUUCUACUAUUUGAAUUCCGCAAAAUGCUUUACUGGGGCAGUUGCAAGUUCUUGGAGGCAUAGGAGAACUGUUAAAGUUUCCCUCAGUGAGCUAGUUUGUAUGUGGGUAAUCUUAAUUUUCGUCAGAAAGUGACUGCUAUCGCACAGCCGGGGGAGAGAGAGAAUUCAACAUGGAAUUGAGAGAAAUGUCAUCAGUUUCCCAGCCCAUCAUUCAAUAAUUAACUGCAAUCUCAGUAACUAUGACAAAUCAAUAUUUUCUUCUUCUUUUUUUCCGAUGCGGCUUGUUUAUGAGAGUCACGACCAUCAUAAAAGUUUCAGCGAUAUUGCUAAGUCUUGUCUACUUAGAAAGAUGAAUUGAGCGCCCACCAUUACCAAUUGACAACCGUAGGAAAUGUGAAAAAUAUGAUGCCUUUGACUGGCCACUUCUCCAAUUGUAUGGAAAGGUCUAGGCUUGAGCUAGGGAAAAAUGGAGUAUUUGCUAAUAAAAUUAUAUGCAAGUGAAAAGACUUCUUUUUCUGUUUUCUGUUUUCAACUUGUACGAGAAACUUUUGGGGUAAGCAUGUGGAAAGAUAUGAGUACCUAAAAGUUCAAAUAGACAUUAGAAGGAAAUAUUUUAGAAGAUGUUGUAUUGGAUCGAGCGAAUGGAUUAUUUUUACUCGAAAGCAAGUGCGUAGUAGAACACAAAAAAGGACCAAAUUCAAAGUUAAGUUUACUGAACUUCCACUUGGUAUUUCGCUUUUUUCCCCCAUUAUAGCAUUUUUCAGUACAUCCCUCGUCAAAAGGUAACCAAGAUUGAAUUAGUACUAUUAGGAUGAAUGACCUGACAAAUGUUCCCAUAUGGUAUUGUUCCUUUCUCUAUCAAUUUUGUGAUUUGAUGGGUCUUCGAAGUUGCGUGACAAAAGAUGAUCGAUCAUAACAGGGCCCAUUGCAUUCCUUUCAUCAGUAUUUAUUUAGUGUUGAUGCAGCCCGUUCCUGGGCAUUCGGGUGAGGACUUUGUCAUUAAUGAUAUUUCUAUUAGAAUUAUCCUAGUUGGCUGAUGUGUACGUGUCAUAUCCAUAAGAAGGCUUAAGCCAUCUUUCAUUGCACUCCUUGUGAAUGGGUUGCCAUAGAUUUUGGUUCAUAUCAUUGUGGGUCUUUAUUGGGUGGUGGAAGCUUCAGUUUGGGAAGAAGGAUUAUUAUAUGUGCUGGAAGGAAAAACAUUGUACAGAGAGGAUAAGAAGCCAUUUAAUUAGUUUCAACUUAGGGUUUGAAAAACCUUUUCUGCAUCAAAUGCCUUUAUGCUUGCCCUAUGAGAUGUAGUUGGGUUAAAUUGAACAUACAAGUGCGAGAAUUUGUUUACAUUUAACUACUCCUUUUCUCCGACCAAAAAAAAAAAAAACUACUCCUUUUCAGUUUAGGUUUUUAGGACCUUUUCAGCAUCCAUUGAGAAUAGGAGAGAUUUUUUGGUCAAAGUGGAACCGUACAUUCCGUAUUGUCAUUGCUUUAAAUUUCCAAAUAUACAGAACCUCAAGAAAGCAUGUUUGAAUAGGCCAUCACUUCCUUAAAUUGUGGGGGUUUAUUCAAGGAGUAAACUGUGCACACGGAAGCCCAUGUUAAUUAAAAUUUAGGCUGCUGUUCCUAUAGAAUUUUGACUAUUGUUUUCCACAUUUUUUUCCUCAUGUGUAAUGAAAGAAUUUGAAGUUUAUUGGGAAAGUUUGUCAUUUUACUGCAGAGACUGCUAUCUUGGGUGUCAUAACUGCCGUCAAUGAACACAUAAUUGAUACCGCCGCAUCUCAGAUCCACACUCGUCAUCUUGAGCCUUCUACAUUUCCUUAUUCGUUAUGCAUAUCUGCAUUGAAGGACUUGGAAACACUUGUUGAAGUCGUCGCACAACAUUACUAUGGUGAUACCAAGAACUAGGUUGCACGGACACUCUCUGGGACCCUUCGUGUCAUGUCCGACACUCCGACACGCUCCGACACGCUUCGACACGCUCCGACACGCGGUCAACGCAUAUCGGAAAAUUCGACACGUGGUCAACUACCUUCGACACGCUUCGACACGUGAGUCAGAAAUUCCGACACAUGACUUCAACACGCACAGAGUUAUUUUUAUAAAUUUUCAAAACUUUUGGGGUUUAAAUAUAAAUAUGUAAAAAAAUAAAAAAUAAUAAUAAAAGCUAAAACAAAUUUCUAAUACUCAUUUGAAGAUGUUAGGUUCUUGAAAUUGCAAAUUUUUCACUUGAUGAGCCGGAGAGUUUUUUUUUCUUUUUUUCUUUUUUUUCAGAAGAAGUAGAUAAUGUGGAUGAAUGACUUUUUGUUAUAUUUGAUGAUGGAAUGUUGAUUUUUUUUCUUAUUGUUAAAUUUUAAAUUUAAUAAUGAAAUGUGGAUUACUUGUUUUUCCUCCAAGUUUUAUAGAUUAUUACAAUGAAAUGUAGUUGAAUUUGUCAAAUUAAAAUAAUGAAUGAUAUUAACAAAUGUAUUAUUAAUGUUUUUAGUAUAGAUUAAUUCUAGGCUCUUUUUAUUUUUAUUAUUUAGUUAUUUAUGCAUUUAUAUAUUAAAAUGUUUAUUUAAUAUAUAACGUGUCGGAAUGUGUCGAAAUUCUCUACUUUUGAGAAAUAACGUGUCGGCGUGUCGUGUCGUGUCGCGUCGCGUGUCGCGUGUCCGUGUCGGUGCAACUUAGACCAAGAAGUGGAACUUCAUUGCAGCUACAGAGGCUAUUAAGUGAGUUUAGAUGAUGUUGGCUGAAUUUUCAUGUAGCCAUAGUUUGUGUAGUUUCCUGAUGUUCUGGUAGUCUGUUUGAACCAGGUUUUUGGUUAGGUUAGCCAUGUUUAGGAAUGGUGGCUAUAAGAUGCUUCUACAGGGCGGAGAGAUUCUAAAUUCUGAGAAGGCAUCAGAAGUUUCCUCCUCACAGUCCAGACCUGGAGAUUCCAGAAAACCUGGAUUUUAUAGUGGGCCUGGUUCUUUCAGGAACGGCUUUGGGCAGAAUGGGUGGAGUCUGGAAGGAAGAGCACUGUCAGCGUUAAGCAGAUUUGGAGAGAAUGCUAGAAUGGUUUCUGACCCACUGUGGUUGCGCAGGGUGCAGCAAUAGAAUGCUAUUAUGGAAUCUCUUGGUAGGCAUGCCAGGAGGUUGUUAGUUGAACCUUGGUAAAGUUGUAUGAUGUACUUUUGCUGAUACAUUUUUGUUUUAUGACAGCUCCAAAGGCAGAGAAAUCAACAUUGUCAUCUACUUUGUCCGAGAGGGGUGUUCAUGGAUCUUUAUUUCUCAUGGGGGAGAUCCUAUUUAUUGCAAGGCCACUAAUCUAUGUUUUGUUUAUUAGAAAGUAUGGAACUCAGUCCUGGACUCCUUGGUUUCUUUCACUGGCCAUGGAUGUGGUUGGCGUUGGCAUCUUUCCUCAAGUUACUUUGUCUGGGUGGGGUAGUAAAACCAUAAGUUCAAGUACACCACUUCAGAAAAAGAUGAGGUUAGAGUCUGUAGUUAUGUAUUCGUUCAUUUGAAUUUGUCCAUUUAGCAUGCAUGCCCUGGCUUACAUCACAAUGCUUUUGGACUGGCCUUACUUCAGCCAUCUAAUGUCCAGAUUAAUGAUUCUCUCAAGAUUUGUCAACUUGUGUUCUUUUUCCCUGUUAAGUAGUUGAAAAGAAGAAAGCUACUCUGGGCACUCUACCUCAUGAGAGAUCCAUUUUUUAGCAAAUACACAAGGUAUACUUAUAGCUACUAGAAAUUAUAUCCAGGGCGAAGUUUACAUUUCUGGGAUGAAUCUCCUCAUGGAAAACCACGUUCCUUCUCUGAUAUUUCAGGGAAAGGCUCGACAAAGCAGAGAAAUUGUUGGAACCUGUUCCCCUUGUUGGGGCUCUUACAGGUGUUCAUUUGUGUCCAUUUUGCUUCUACUUUUCACGUUGGCUAAGAUAAGGCUACUUAUUAUGUUUACUCAUGCAGCGAAAGUCAUAGAGCUGAUUGUGGGAGCUCAAACACGGUAUACAUACAUGUCGGGCUCAUAAGAGUGAAGCCUUAGAUAGCCGUGCUACACUUUGAGCCGCCACACCCACCAGAAACAGAAUACAAGGACUGUAUCCACUAUCCUUGUGAGUUACUAGAAGUUGAGGGACGAUGUCUUGGCGACGAAGAUUGACAGUUUGAUGUUUUUGGAAAAUAACGCAAUAACUGGUGAGUUCUGCUGCAGAUCUCCAAUUGUACACUGGUUUCUUGGUUUUGUUGGAAAUAGAUUUUGCUUCUAGCUUGGAUUGCAUCUGGGAGUAAGUUCUCAUUGUGCAGACUUCACUUCAGAGUUGGGUUCGAUCAUGUUCAAUUUUCUUGGGGGGUUUGAGGAAGAAAAUCUUGUAACCCCUUUAUGCCGUCCACUAAUUCUUCUUCCCUUUCGUUUCUUUCCUUGUUUAUUUUUAAGCCAAGCCCUUUGUUUAGAUCCCUACGUACAGAAGAAUAUUGCAGUCUGUUUGAUAAUGGAGUGACAUCGUUUCUUCGGUUCAGAUGAAAGAAACCUUUAGAUUUGAGUAAGUGGAUUUUGUUCUAUUAUUGAUCAGAGUUUGUCUAUCUUCUCACUACUUAUUAACAUCUCAAAGAGUCCACACAACACUUCCCAUGCGUGUUAAAAGACUUAGAAGUCACAGGGUUCUAUGAUGUCUGGAGGGAUUGAUUCUCCAUCAUAAAAAUCUUGUAUCCUAGCGUAUUUUAUCGUACUUUCUAUUGAAGUGUCGUACCACACAAAUAUUUUAAAGUUUUUCAAUGAACAAUUGAGAUUCGUUCUUUUGCCAUCCUAUGGUUAAGAUCCUCUGGGAUUCGUGUAAGUGCCAAGGUGUUAUAUUCACUUUCUCCUCUUACACGCAUCAAGUACAUAUAUUAAAUUGAGCCUGAAUACCGACGAUGACAAGAUUUGUGUAAGUCUCGUGUAGGUCUCCCAGAUCUGAUGGUCUGGAAUUGGAGUUAAGGUCAUGUGUCUAUAUGUUGGGUUACUGAACGUUAGCGAUAGAAAAAUGGGUAGGAAAUCAAUGACGUCUCACUUGGUCAUUAUCAAAUUCAUAAGCAAGGGGAAAAAUUAGGAUAAUAAUACAAAUAGUGUAUGAAUUUUAACUCGAUGUAUAAUGUUAUUCCAGACUUUUAAUUUAUUUAAUGUCAGUCUAGUCCUCGCUGGUUAUCUUAUAUGGUACAUUGUUAAGUCAUGACUUUAAACAUGCAAAUAUUUAUGACUAAAUUGAUAAAAAUGAAAAAUUUAGAACUAAAUUGGAAUAUAUAGGAUUGAUUGGAUAAUUUUCUUUUUGGGGGAGAGACUCUGCGAUGGCCUCGAUGCUUGUUGCAUGAAGCAUGACGCUUGCAUUCAAGCCAAAACAAUGAGUUUCGACAUCAAUAUAUCCAGCUUGUUCUUCAUCAAAUUGCUUAAUAUGACUAGUUGUUGGCCCCUGCAUUAGCAUGGACAUUUUAUGAGGAUGAAUGUGGGACAGUUUUUCACUGGCGAACGAUAUCUUUACACGUCUAUAGACUCUAUACAUGCAUGGAUGUAUAUUCAUGAUAAAGUGUAUGGCGGAGUGGAUUAAGAGAAAAUGGCGUAAGGGACUAAUGGGUCAAAUGAAAGAAUAGACACUAAUGGCUAUUGGUUUCGCAAUUUCACUAAACCUUCUCAUCAUUCACAAGCCAACUUUAAUUACGGUCAUUCUCAUCAACUCUUUCAGAACAACAUCACAAAUAUUUUGGCUUGUCAAAUGGAUGAAGGGAUGGCAAUGAUGAAGAAAUUAUAUUGCGUGAUGGUUUAACUUGAUCUUUUAUUCAUAAACAGGUUGUAUCGCCCACAUAAAUAUAUCGAAAUCUGUAGGGGUGAGCGGUUCCCGGUUCCUUACAAGUUCCGUCUAAAACUUUGAGCCAACCCUCGGGUACAGGUUCCUCAUAUUUUGGAACCUGAAACCUACCAAUCAGAACCAAUAACCUUAAACCUACCAUGUCACAGUUUCCAGGGUCAGUUCCAGGUUCUAUGUCACAUUUUUAGAUCUGAACUAUAACAAAGAAGGAAAGACACAAACCAAAGCUUCUAUGUCAGCUCAAGCCAAGAUCAGAAAAACGAUGGCAACUUAGCGACUUUUGUUGUGACAAACACAAGAAAAUCACUGAUGCAAACAACAAACUUCGACCAAGCAUGAGUUCUCUUUGUUAUUAGGCUCUGAAUUCUGUUUUGGUGUCUCAGGACUCGUUGCUCGGUAAAACAAAAUGAUCAGAUAAAACUCCAUAGAAACAAUAGUUGGCUGUUGGUGUAUUUCCCUAAGCAUUAAUUUAUAAGUUAUGGCGUACUUUUGAUAGAUUUGGGUAUGAUGACUUCUCGUAUCAGUGGUGAUUUCUCAAAAGUGGAACUGAUAGCUGCCAUAACUGAAGAUUUGGAAGCUAGUUUCGUUGAAUCAAGGGUGACAGACUUUGGAAAGAUCUUCCUGACAACUGGUGGUUGAGUUGAGAGAUUUCUUGCAUUUGGAUUCUCGAAAUUAGCAACUGGUGCAUUGAAAGAGGAGACCUGCCCCUUGAAUGGUUUGCCUUUCCUCAUUAUCAAUUGCAAGAGUAUUCACCAUGCGCAGUACUUUUGUACUUGUGGCAGAAAAAUCACCAUGACCCAGCUGCAGAAAAGGAAAACAUGUUUUUAGUCAAGUGAAGCAAUAAACAAAUAUAAAAAAGAAAUGUAAAAAAGAAAUAUAAAAAAGAAUGAAGCAAAAAUGAGUCCCAAAGUGAGCAUUACUGUGUAAUAGUUAUGUGAAGGCUUUCAUCGAGUCAAACCAGAUCUUUGAUCAUAAAAGAUGAAGCAACACAUCUUUAGAUUCCUCCAGGGAUACAACAUUUGUAUUGGUGGAAGCAUAACCACUGCCUAAAGGCAAAGCAAUUGCCUGAUGGGAAGACACUUUUCCUUUUUUUGGCCCCAUAAAAGAUGCCAGGACAUAUUUCCUCAUUUUUGCACUCGGUAUCUACGUAGGUCACAGAAAUGUCCACAACAAUUGCACGAUGUUAAAUUCACAUCCAUUAUUAUUUUAUGCAGGUUCAAGGCUAUCAUGGGUGAGGCUAGCAUGAACCAAAAGCUACUUCAUCACAGAAAUCUCACUGUUUCUAAUAGAUACAUCAAAUCAAGAUGCACGUGCAACCUGUGUAAGCAUAUAGACCUAUUAAAGAUGAAGACGCCAGUCUUAUGCACACAAAACCACAGAGCAAACAGCAGCAGUAUUAACCACAAAAAACAAAUGGUGUGAUUGCCCAGAUCACAGAUCAUUUGGCAACCUAUAGACCUUUUAGCAUAGCCAGAUACUUCACUCUAAUAAGGAAAAGAGUUGAGCCAACAGAAAAUGAUGCGAAUUUGCAAACUCUUAAAAGACCUUACCUUUGACUCCAAAAGAGAAAUUUCUGAUCUAAGCCGAUCACUCUCCCUUUCCAGUGAUUUUAUCCUUCUUGCUUCAUUAUUUAGCCUCUCAUUUAGUAACUUAAUCUCCUCCCGUUGCCGAUUAUUAGCUUCCUUUUUGCUCAUUUAAACUGCUCUCCAUUUCUUUGAUACAGCAUUCCUUCUUGGCAAGAGACAACUGCAACUCCUGUUCCAUAUAAACACAGAGGAUUGUCAGGAUAUGUGGCAAUAGCAUUAAAAUGAGGGACAAAGAUGACGGUGAACCGCAGAUUGCAGAAGUUUACAUUUGCCACUUUACUCCCAGUUUCAGCUUUCUCUGGCUUCUUCAGCUCAUUGACAAGAGUUUGAUAUUUAUCCCGCUCCUCAGUGAUCACUGAAAGCUGUGAAAGAAAAGCAAUAUCUACUCAAGGGGCACAGAACAUGUCUAUAUGGGGAGCAGAGAAUGACCAGAAAGUGAAAAUAGGAAAUAACACAAAAUGAUCUAAAUAUGACAAUAAGGUCAUGUAACCGCAAGAUAACUUGCAAACCACCUCCAAUAAUCUGAUUUAUGAAAUCUCAUCAGAUACUGAAAAACACAUUGAAAGUAGAUAAACCGUUCUCGUAGACCUUCAUCGCAGCCAACUUAUGAAUAUCCAAUGGAGCAGGAAAAGGUAAAGCAACAAUACAAACCAAACCUUCAAGCAUCAACUUAAGAACAUCAAAAAAAAAAAUAUAUAUAUAUAUAUAUAUAUAUAAGAAAGAAUCUACUCUGCAUCUAACCAUAUAAGGCUUCUGUUUCCAGAAUAGCACCUGUUACAUCAAAUUUGAUCUUGACAUUCUGUUUCUCUAUUUCCCUUCACGGUGCUAAGAUGAGCAUCAUAAUCAGUCAAGGCAGGUGCAUAUUGUUUACUUUAUGAUGCGGAUUUCCCAACAUUUGGCUAUCAUUAGCAUUUACAAGUCUUGGGCCAUGUAUAAUUUCAUUCUGUUUAUGCAGAAACAUUCUGCCACAUACAGGCUCUAUUACGGUUGGUGUUCAUCAUCUUUUAUGAACCAUAAACAAUGAUUUUUAAUUUACAACUCAAAAAUUGCUCAUGCAGCAAAGGCUUUCAAUUAUGGACCUAAACACAUGAGCAGAACAGAAGAACAUGUAAAAAUACAUGGGACUCAAAAUACCAUGCCACCUCUAUGCCUCAAGUUGAACCAUACCUCUCCAAUGGUUAAAGCAUGCAUUUUCAUCUUGGAGUCAACUUGUUUUGCCACCCAGACAAAGAUUGCUGAGUGACAAUCCAGGACAAAUAUAUCUUCGGCCAUCAAAUCAUUCUGACUAAAAUUGUGUAUUUCUGUCACCUGCAAUAACAAUAUCAGAAUGGCUGUCUAAGUAAGGACCUCAAUAACAUGCUAGCACAACAAGUAAGAAUAUAUGCAAGCAUCUUAAAGCAGUGGCAAUUGAAAACAAAGGAAGACAUUAGUAAAAUGAGCAGAAUACUCUGAGAUGCCUCAGUUUUAGGAUACAGCAGAAUAGAGGCAAGCGUUGGAAUGAAUGCUUAUGAUCAGCAGUAAUAUGUAAAGAGGUCAGUUAGGGAAAACUACAAAAAUAAUGGCAAAAGAUGCAACCGUUUUAAAGGUUGGAGCGAAGGGGUUGGCCCAAAAGGGAGAAAAUCUCAAGCAGAGGAGGGAUCAUGGAUCUUAUUUUGGGCUAGACAGGGUGCUACUGGCAUGCGUUGUUCUAGAGAUCAUAUUCCACUAUCAAUUGCCAGAAAUUCAUCUCAUAAUUCAGCUGAUCACUCCACUGCUUUGUUAUCUUGAUUGACAGUCUAAUAGACAACUCCAUUCUCCAGAAUAUCAAUCAUGAAAAGCUACAGAUAUAUUCAGUGUGUACAUCUUAGUAGAUUUUUAUUUAUUAUUUUUAUGAGGUAAAUGGAAAAAGAAGAAGCAAACAACUAGGUAAAUGUCCGUGACAUGGUUACACCAGAUUUACAUGUAAUAUUAACGAUUACAGCAGUUUACAUUGCUCAGUCAGGUGAGAAGAUACCUUAUGGUGGUUAUUCGGCAGAACUGGAUCUGCUUUUCCAAGAAGCUUGUCUCCUCUCCGCCAGGAAUUGAGCCUUAUUUCCAACACCAAGCUACGGAGAACUAUGGAAGAAGCGUUGGCCUAUCCAGUAACCCCCCAGUGGGAAUGAAUUAGGCAUUACAAACAAAUACCACUUUGUCUACUGCAGUAUCAUUGGCCAAUAAACAACAAACGAAUCUUCGAUAAUGCUUUGAUUUACAAUGAUAGGGGUACUACAAGAUGUAAUUGUAUCUGCCAUGACUUAUAAUUCUUCCUGACUUGAAGCACAAGGCUGGAGAGAAUAUUAUUUGCAGACAUCUACUAGUCUACGGGCAGGAACUACUAAAUGUGUGGCAACUCAUAGAAAAGGAGUUACUGACCUUCAAUAAUGACUAUAGUUUUGGAAGACCUCCACUUUUGUUUCCUCGCUGUCCUUAGAAUACGAGCCGUCUCUACCUUGACUUCAUCUGUUAUGGAGCUACCCUUAUCUGCCCAAGGAAUUUUGAUGAGGGAUAGUGCUUUUUUUAUAAACAUCUAUAUAGCUGCACAAAGCUGGAGAUAUCUUUAAAAUUAAUCUGUUUACUAGCUUUCAUGAAUGGUAUCAGGUUUGUGGAAAAUAAUAACAUUCUACAUGUCAAUCUUAAGUGGAGCUGAUGGACUUAAUCUUGGUCCCGAAUGCCUUUGUAAAUCUGGUGAUACUUCCAUUUACUUCCCAACUAGUAGCAGCUGACGGGUACUUAUCAUUCCAUAAGGAAUAGAAAUUAGUUUUACCCGUCUCCCUGUCAUCAAGCAAGCAAGGAAAUCCACUGUCAAUCUCCUCAUCCGACUCAAUGGCAAGUCGACAGUCUCUUUCAUCCACCCUGACCUGCCGAGAAUGCCACGAGUAAGAUGAACUUGCCCUUUGACCAGGUGAUAAGACCAUAUGUGCAACAAAAUCACUGAGAUGAUUUCAAGCAACUCAAGACAACUUGUACCAAUCCUUCAUUUGAAGAAUUGACAAGCAUGUCUUAUUAUCGAUUGCCACAUGGUGAGCAAAAUGAAACUUGAAAAAGCAGAAACACCUUUCUGUUUGAUAACACAUCUUUUUGCCCAUGCUUCAUAAUUGGCAUAUUAGAAGCAAAAGUUGCUUUUGCUGACUUCACUGACGUCCACCCCCCUCCUAGUUCUGUCUUUGGUACCGAAUUGGUUUGCAAAUUUACUUUCGAAUUUGCAGCUGAACUGAAACCAACAAUUUGAUAUUUCAAAAUGCUUGGGGACACAGGACAGAAGAAAAUCGGGACAAGCAAAACAUAAGUAGGCAAGCAAGCAGGAAGCACAUUUACUAAUCAAAACAUGCAUGCCAUCCCAGAUCAGACAGAGGCAGCAAGUGAAAGAUCCAUCCUAGGCCCAGCUAAUUACAAUUCAUGUUGAGUUAGAUUGUGUUCUUUUGUUAUGUGUGUUUAUUAAAAAAAGGCGCACGCACACAUAGAGACAAUUAGAGUAAUUUGACCAGUGAAUAAAUUCCAUCCUACAUAUUUCGAUAAUUUUACGAACACCAUGUGAAGGGGAAAUUAGAUUCUCCACAUGAAAUGUCUUGAUUUUAACAAAAGAUAACAUCAGUGUGUCUCAGCUCUGACUGCAGAGAAGAAAAAAGCCUGCAUAUAGUUGUUAAAAGUGUCAGUACGCUGGCUACCCAAAUAGGCUUUUAAACUCACGAGUGCAGAUUUUGAUGCAUACGAUUUCAGUUGUAUCGAUUUCUCAUGAAACAUUCACUUCCGAUAUUCUAAGCAGCCAAAACGAUGAGUCCAGGCUUGACAUCUCUGAGCUACAAACUACUUAACCUUGCUAACAGGGCUGCGAUGAUCUAUUUCUCUUAUUCAGAAACGCAAUCAACAAAGACAAGAUCACACACCUUUGUAAUUGUUGUGCAUUCCUUUGUGGGAGAGCACAAAUGACGGUACCACUUGCCGGCGUUCGAGAACGAGCCUCCGGGCUUCUCGAGAACCGCGGCGUACACCUUGAUGUCGUCCUUCCUCCUUCAUGAGCUGAUCUCUGCCAUCGAAAACGACGCCGAUAAACAUCCUAAACAAGCAAGGGGGCCCAAGAUGCCGAAUCGACCGAUCGAUCCCCCGUGCGAAGAACAGAGAGAGAGAUUGAAGUGUUGCCCGGAGAUGUAGGUCUUGCCGGAGAGGAACUCGUCGAGGGACUUGAGGCCCGACUCCGUAUGGAGAUUCGUCGAGGAACUCGUCAAGGGCAAGCAGCGUCGGGCAGAGACAGAGGAGAACUGUGAGUGUGAAGUGUGAAGCGUGAAGUGAACUGAGUGAGAAGAGAACUGAGACUAUGGUAAACAUAAAAAGAGAACCGGAACCGGUCUCUUUAGAACCGGGAACCGAAUCAGACUCUCCGGUGUAGUUCUCUGAUUCCCGGUUCUACUCAAAAAUCGCUCACCCCUAGGAAUCUGGACAUUGAGACCUAGCGGGUGUUGUACAGAUGAAAAUUUCAGCCAGAGUGCAGUCAAAACUUACUGAGCUGCAUGGCCAACUUUGAGGCCCGACUCCGUAUGGAGAUUCGUCGAGGAACUCGUCAAGGGCAAGCAGCGUCGGGCAGAGACAGAGGAGAACUGUGAGUGUGAAGUGUGAAGCGUGAAGUGAACUGAGUGAGAAGAGAACUGAGACUAUGGUAAACAUAAAAAGAGAACCGGAACCGGUCUCUUUAGAACCGGGAACCGAAUCAGACUCUCCGGUGUAGUUCUCUGAUUCCCGGUUCUACUCAAAAAUCGCUCACCCCUAGGAAUCUGGACAUUGAGACCUAGCGGGUGUUGUACAGAUGAAAAUUUCAGCCAGGAGUGCAGUCAAAACUUACUGAGCUGCAUGGCCAACUUCGAGAACUACAAAAGGCGAACGUUUAAAGGAAGCAAAUGCUAAGUCGAGGAUGUCGUCAACGUCCUCUGCUUUGUCACGGAAGCUGCUUUGGUUGCCCGAAGAUACCUCCACAGGCCCUCAAUCUCUGUCCUUGGUCAAAUUCGACACAUAAAUCUCAUCGAGAAUCCAAAAUGGUUAGGGAAUCUUGUGAAGAGAAUAUAGCAAUGUACAAAAAACAUGGUAAUAACUUACCACGAAAAAAAUUGUUGAGGGAGUGAGAUAACUUUAGUUGAGGGGUUUCUUGAAAAGUACAUAUGGCUCAUUUGAGGCAACUGUUCUUCCAUUUGAGCAUCUUCACGUAUAAGAUGAAAUCGAAAGUAUUUGCAUAGGUGAAUAAACAAAACCACAUAGAUGUCAACUGAGGAAACAAAUCAUUCUUCAAGUUCAGUAAUUCCAGAAAAUUAUAACUCUGAUUUGCUUGUGAUAGUCAUUAACAGCUUAUCCAGGGUGAGCAAUCUUACUUGAUGGCUAUGACAUCUGACUGGUGGCAUUAUCAAGAGAGUGAUUUCUCUAAAGCAUCAUAUCAUAUUCCUUCAUCAGCUUCCACGUUCCUUGAAUCACGUAAGAGAAGGAAAACAACACCCAUGAAAAUUGAAUAAAUUCGACCUAGUUAUUUCAUGUAAAAGAAAGGAGACAAAAAGCAAACCUCCUCAUUCAUAGGUUGCUAAUAUCAAAGGGUUAAUACAUUAACUACAGAAACUUUUUAGUCGGUGAAAAUAUUUAAUAGUCACAGAAAAUCGUAUCUUACGUAUUUAUUGACAGAUUUGUAAAUCUAUUGAAGUGCUACACUUGUACAAUUUGAAAAAAUUGGGCACUAGCUAAUAUAUGAGUACGAUAGUAAAAUCAUUUUUGAGUCGGUAGUUUACUAACCACGCCUAUAAAAUCUGAAAGACAUCAGUAAUCUUCCGAUCUAUUAAAACGUUGGUAAAUCCUUCUACUUUUCCUUGUAAAUUUGUUAUUAACUCCUUCCAAGAACCACAGCACGAUACCCCUGAAGCAUCGUGUCAAGUUCCACGACCAGAGUCAACAUUCCUUGAACGAACAGUGUUACCUGCUUUAUUUACCUUUCAAAGCAAAACGUGAAUUCGGGGACCCAUUGUUUCUCUCUGCUGCAGUAGUGCAAUGAACGAAUGGAAUUCUGAUAAGUUGCAUCGCUUAACAUCUUUUAGAGUCGAACACCUCGAUUCCUAGAGCUCUGUGAUCUCCACGAGUUUAUGCGAGAUUGACCCCCAUCUUCUCAUUAGAACUUCGAAUUUCCACAGAUGGAGACAAUUUGCUGAGGCUCGAAGGUAAAUUUCUCAUUUGUACACAUUUGCGACUUUCUCCAGUCCCUGAACAUCACGAAGCUUUGAGAAACCUCUAAUGUUCAAAUAUGUCAGGUUAUCGAAGCACGAGAGGCUUGGUAAUGUUAAGUCCUUCGAUAGAUGUUCAAGGCCGUCAAGGUUGCACAACUUUCGGCAUCUAUGUACAAAGAAUCUUGCUAAGGAUUUUGAUGCUUCCAGACCCUUGAUUUCUGUCAGGUCAUUGCAACAAGAAAGAACUAAUCUUGACAAAAAUUCCAAUCUCGACAGACUUGGUAAAUCUUUCAACUCAUUACAAUUGUAAACACAGAGCUCCAACAAUCUAGAGGGAAGCUCCGGCAUGGAUUUCAACAGUUGGCAAAAAUCAACAACGAGCACUUUGUGGGAGUGAUUAAAAAUUGCGACACCUUCUUAACUGAAGGAGUUGUAGAGAAGGCAGAUAAGCGAUGCUUUGCGGCAACGAUUGAAGCAUCUUGCAGUCAUAUAAUUGAAGUUUCUNNNNNNNNNNNNNNNNNNNNNNNNNNNNNNNNNNNNNNNNNNNNNNNNNNNNNNNNNNNNNNNNNNNNNNNNNNNNNNNNNNNNNNNNNNNNNNNNNNNNNNNNNNNNNNNNNNNNNNNNNNNNNNNNNNNNNNNNNNNNNNNNNNNNNNNNNNNNNNNNNNNNNNNNNUCCAUUGGAGAAGCCAGAAAUGCUUGUCCAACCUAAUCGAAGGAUCCUCAGUGACGACAACCCAUCUAUAGGAAUUUCCCCUCUAAGAUUCUUGCAUCUCGUGGCAUCUAAUUCUUCAAGUUUCUCUAAACGAGAAAGAUUAUUGAAUAAUUUGGGGAAGCCAGAAACGCUUGUUCCACUUAAUCGAAGGAUCUUUAGUGAAGACAACCCAUCUAUAGGAAUUUCCCCUUCCAAAUUUUUGCAUUCUCUCACAUCUAAUUCUUCAAGUUUCUCUAGACGAGAAAGCUUAUUGAAUCCAUUGGAGAAGCCAGAAAUGCUUGUAAAACCUAAUCGAAGGAUCCUUAGUGAAGACAACCCAUCUAACAGGAUUUCACCUCCCAGAUUGUUGCAUCCUGGGGCAUUUAAUUCUUCAAGCUUCACAAGACAAGAAAGCUUAUCGAAUCCAUUGGAGAAGCCAGAAAUGCUUGUCCAACCUAAUCGAAGGAUUCUCAGUGACGACAACCCAUCUAUAGGAAUUUCCCCUCUAAGAUUCUUGCAUCUCGUGGCAUCUAAUUCUUCAAGUUUCUCUAAACGAGAAAGAUUAUUGAAUAAGUUGGGGAAGCCAGAAACGCUUGUUCCACUUAAUCGAAGGAUCUUUAGUGAAGACAACCCAUCUAUAGGGAUUUCCCCUUCCAAAUUCUUGCAUUCUCUCACAUCUAAUUCUUCAAGUUUCUCUAGACAAGAAAGCUUAUUGAAUCCAUUGGAGAAGCCAUAAAUGCUUGUCCAACCUAAUCGAAGGAUCUUUAGUGAAAACAACCAAUCUAUAGGGAUUUCCGCUUCCAAAUUCUUGCAUUUACUGACAUCUAAUUCUUCAAGUUUUUCCAGACGAGAAAACUUAUUGAAUAAGUUAGGGAAGCCAGAAACGCUUGUCCCACUUAAUCGAAGGAUUUUCAAUGAAGACAACCCAUCUGUAGGGAUUUUCCCUUCCAAAUUCUUGCAUCCUGUGACAUCUAAUUCUUCAAGUUUCUCAAGACGGGAAAGUUCAUUGAAUCCAUUGGAGAAGCCAGAAAUGUUUGUCCCACCUAAGCGAAGGACCCUCAGUGAAGACAACCCAUCUAUAGAGAUUUCACCUCCUAGAUUCUUGCAUCCUACGGCAUGUAAUUCUUCAAGUUUCUCCAAACAAGAAAGCUUAUUGAAUAAGUUGGGGAAGCCAGAAACGCUUGUUCCACUUAAUUGAAGGAUCUUCAAUGAAGACAACCCAUCUAUAGAGAUUUCCCCUCUCAGAUUCUUGCAUUGUCUCACAUCUAAUUCUUCAAGUUUCUCAAGACGGGAAAGCUCAUUGAAUCCAUUGGAGAAGCCAGAAAUGUUUGUCCCACCUAAGCGAAGGACCCUCAGUGAAGACAACCCAUCUAUAGAGAUUUCCCCACCUAGAUUCUUGCAUCCUACGGCAUGUAAUGCUUCAAGUUUCUCUAAACAAGAAAGCUUAUUGAAUAAGUUGGGGAAGCCAGAAACGCUUGUUCCACUUAAUUGAAGGAUCUUCAAUGAAGACAACCCAUCUAUAGAGAUUUCCCCUCUCAGAUUCUUGCAUUGUCUCACAUCUAAUUCUUCAAGUUUUUCAAGGCGAGAAAGCUUAUUGAAUCCAUUGGAGAAGCCAGAAAUGCUUGUCCAACCUAAUCGAAGGAUCCUUAGUGAAAACAACCCAUCUAUAGGGAUUUCCGCUUCCAAAUUCUUGCAUUUACUGACAUCUAAUUCUUCAAGCUUCACAAGACAAGAAAGCUUAUUAAAUAAGUUAGGGAAGCCAGAAACGCUUGUCCCACUUAAUCGAAGGAUUUUCAGUGAAGACAAUCCAUCUAUAGGAAUUUCCCCUUCUAGAUUCUUGCAUUCCCCGACAUCUAAUUCUUCAAGUUUCUCAAGACGAGAAAACUUAUUGAAUAAGUUAGGGAAGCCAGAAAUGCUUGUCCCACUUAAUCGAAGGAUUUUCAAUGAAGACAACCCAUCUGUAGGGAUUUUCCCUUCCAAAUUCUUGCAUCCUGUGACAUCUAAUUCUUCAAGUUUCUCAAGACGGGAAAGCUCAUUGAAUCCAUUGGAGAAGCCAGAAAUGUUUGUCCCACCUAAGCAAAGGACCCUCAGUGAAGACAACCCAUCUAUAGAGAUUUCCCCUUCCAGAUUCUUGCAUUUGCUAACAUAUAAUUUUUCAAGUUGCUCAAGAUGAGAAAGCUUAUUAAAUAAGUUAGGGAAGCCAGAAAUGUUUGUCCUACUUAAUCGAAGGAUUUUCAGUGAAGAUAACCCACCUAUAGGGAUUUCCCCUUCCAAAUUCUCGCAUCCUGUGACAUCUAAUUCUUCAAGUUUCUCAAGACAAGAAAGCUCAUUGAAUCCAUUGGAGAAGCCAGAAAUGCUUGUCCCACCUAAUCGAAUGAAUCUCAGUGAAGACAACCCAUCCAUAAGAAUUUCCCCUCCUAGAUUCUUGCAUCCUGUGGCAUAUAAUUCUUCAAGUUUCUCUAGACGAGAAAGCUUACUGAAUAAGUCGGGGAAGCCAGAAAUGCUUGACCCACUUAAUCGAAGGAUCUUCAGUGAAGACAACCCAUCUAUAGGGAUUUCCCCUCCCAAACUCUUGCAUCUUGUGACAUUUAAUCUUUCAAGGUUGCCCAACUUGCUAAUAGUACUAGGUAAACUGGUCAAUUUCUCACAACAUUUAAUAUUCAAAAUUUUUAAGUUUUUCAAAUCCCCAAUAGAUUCAGGUAACUGACAAAUGCCUAAAAAUGACAAUUCCAAUGUAGUUAACAAUUUCAAGUUCCCAAUUGAGUUAGGGAUAUGUAAAUCUCCUGAAAACUGCGCUCGGCUUAAGAGUAGCUUUUGCAAGUUCACAAGGGACCCGAUGCUCUCUGGAAGUCUACAUAAUUUCGAGCAAUUAGCUAGGUUAAGGAUUGACAAAUUUUCUAGAUGGCUAAUUGAGCCAGGAAUUCCAACCAAUGAUUCGCAAUCCCUGGCAUCAAGACUCUUCAGCUUCUUCAAAGAGCUUAUACAUGGAGGAAUUUCCUCUAUAGCAGUCUUGUUUAUGUAAAGUUUCUUUAGUUCUUCCAACUUGCCCAUUUCUUGUGGUAGCUCUCGGAGUUUUACACAUCCAUUUAAAUUCAAAAUAUCGAGGCCCUUGACUUCUCCAAUAGAAGGGUGGAUUAGCUGUAAAUGAUCACAUCCUAUGAGGAUUAAUAUCUCUAAAUGUUGAAAGCUCGAGAGAUCAGGAGUAACUCUUAAAUGAGGGGAAUAUGCAAGAUCUAGAACUUUCAAUUUCUUUGCCACCUGCAAAACAAAAUGAUUAGAUAAAUUUUUGUUGCGAGUAAGCCAAUAAAAACAAAAGACAAAAUAAGUUCUUUAUCUGACCUCAAGAUAACUCCAACCUUCCCAAUGCUCUGAAAUGUCACUUCUCCGUAAUACAAGUACCACUAAUUUCUCUAGAUGAAAUUUAGUAGCCACGGAUGGACAUCCGUUCCACAUAAGGAAUCGUAGCUUGGGAAGCAAGAUUUUGGAAUCUCCAAUCAGUUUUGCAUCAGUCACAAUAAGGCAUCUUAAGUUCGGUAGUUUCUCAAAUUGUUCAGUUGUGAAUUCACUCCGCGAGCUAUCUCCUUUGAGAACAAGGACCUGAACGUUAAGAUUUUCAAUUCCCUUCACAAAUGUUGCAUCGAGUUAGCUACACUCAUUACCACUUUACCUUUCUAUAGUUGUCAAGUUGACACUCAGGUGAGAUCAGAUUUUAUCAUCCUAAGCAGUACAAUAGGUCAUUUCAAUGGAAAAAAAUAAACACAAUAAUUAUGUCGAAUGACAACUUAGAAUCAAUCAAUACUAACACCAAGAGCACAAGUAACCACUGAGCAGCAGGGAGUUUAUUGUUUAAACCAAAAGUUUUCUUUUUCUUCUUUUUUUUUUUUUUACCCUAACUUGAUAGAAAACAUCAAUAGAAAACAUCUACCGUGUAUAGAUGCAAAACCCAUUAUUACCUAAUCACAUCAAGGAAAUAAUAUUAGGAGAGUAAUUUCCGUUGUGAGGUCUAACAAUUUAUUCCAACCAAGAUAAUUCAUGUCAAAAGAGAGUAGAACAACGAUAGAGGUUAGAAUUACCUUAUUUCUUUGAAAUAUUUCCAACUUUUUCCCACGGAGGUGCAGCCUACUUCGAUUCAUAGGAGAAUGGUAAUCUUCUUGACGAAUAAUUUCCCUACCAAGGUCUCUCAGUUGAUCAUGCAUUUUCAACAUUCCAUCAUCUCCAAUUUUUAUUAGUGACAUAAAACUCAAUGUUUCAAGCCCCAUAUUCGGAAAAAAAUUACAAGCAUCCCACAUGUAGAAUGCAUAUUUGAAACCAUAUCCCAUAAAGCAAUAAGCAAUAUCCAAAAAUAUCUGUUUUUCCUCAUAGUUUAAUGCAUCGUAACUUAUCCUCAAUUUCUCUUGCACUUUCUCAUGCGGUACUUUCUUUAACUUCUUUAAUGCAUCUUGCCAAGAUGCUUGGUUCUGUCCACACAGAGAUGAACCUAAAACCUCGAGAGCUAAGGGUAGUCCUCCGGUAGUGGACACGAUAGCAUGAGAGAGAGAUUCAAAUUCACAUGGAGGAGAGUCCCUCCUAAAGGCAUGUCUACUGAACAAGAUCAAGGACUCAUCCUUAGC
rnacentral:lncRNA from 1 species